CAACAAGAGGUGAUGAGAGUCUGAACAAGAAACAAUACAGAAAAGAUUAGCAUGGUCCACGAGCAAGGAUAACAAAUUCAUGAACCAUCCAAUAUUUCU
rnacentral:snRNA from 1 species